AAUAAAUUAAAUGCCUAAACUGGCAGACUGCAAACAAUUUUGACUCAGAUCUAAAUGUUUGCACUGGCUAUUUAAACAUUUAAUUUGUU
rnacentral:pre_miRNA from 1 species